rnacentral:lncRNA from 1 species
ACUUGGUCACGCUCCCAGAGAGUCACGAGACGCGCAGUCUGCGUGAAGUGUCACCCAGCACGUGGAGCCAGGGUCGGGCCGCGCCAGCGGGCAGAACCCCCCCGACUUUUGGGAGGGUCUCGCCGCCGUGCGCCUCUCGCCAUACAUUGGGCGCGCUCCGCCCGCGGAGGGGGCCCCCCAGGUCUCGAGCAGAGCGAGCGAGGCCACGGUCCCGAGCCCCUGGCCAGGCGCACACGGGGCGUCCAGGACGUCGGGACCCGGUGUGCGGUGACACCCUCUGUGCCCCAGCGGCGACACGGGUUUGUCCAUGCGCGAGGGCGCGGCCUGCGGCGAGAGGCGCCCGCGGCUCGACCGGGCCCCGGCCCCGCGCCCCGCCGAGCUGAACGCAGGUAACGGCGGCGGCGCGGCGCUGGGCCUCGCGGGCGCGGCGUGGGAGCGCGGCCAGAUUUCGCGCGUGUGUCUUGCGCUCGGGUGCAAGGCGCGGUCUCCGCGCAGCCUCCCCUCCCCCCGACCGCAGCACCUUCCCUCGGGGUGGCCGGCGUCGUGUAACCCUUCGAGGGCUGGUUUUGGAGCCCGAGGUCUGGCGGAGUGGCAUGCUUCCCCGGGGGGACGCCAUUUGGGGCAAACACCGAGCACCGGCCCCAAGCCCUAGGAAGCCCGUCGGGGGCGCGCCGCACCUCGCACUCCGAGACGGACGGGAGCUGAGGGCUGGGUCUUUGCGGGCGAGAUGAGGGUGUCGGUUCAACUGGCCUACAAAGUCCCAGUCCUCGGCUAGCCGGGACCGGCGUCUUCCCCGCGCUCCGCCCCGGGCCGGCUUCCUCCCGGGGCCCUGGUGCAUACCACGCAAACGGGGCCCACGCUGGAGAAGGUGGCCAAGUGCGGUUGCCGCGGGUCCUGCGCGGGGGGGUUGGGAAUCCGCGCGCUGCUGCGAACGAGAAGCAGCCACGCACCUGCAAGUUCACGUGAGUCGGGCAGUUGUGUGCGGUCGGUGCCCGCCGUGGGCAGCGCGUCCCCGCCUCGGCGCCCUCUCCUCGAGCGGCCGGCGCAGUCACUGCGCCCGGCUUUGCUGUGCUUUCCCGGGCGGCAGCCCUGCGCCUGGAGGCGGGAACUUCCAGACGGCACCUGGGCUUGGAAUGACAAAGGAGAUAAUGGGAGAAGCCAGCCCGCUCAGCUCCAGGCGCUAGGCAUUCCGGAAGUUCUGAUCCUUGGAGAGCCCUCCGGGGUUUACUGGACACCAACCGUGCCAGGCCUCUGCCCUGCUCCCCCAGGCCAAGGGUACCUGUCCCCUCCAUGGAGCUCCUGCUGUGCACAGGAAUGUCACCAAGUCCUAAAGCCACCAAAUGCUGCCCUCCCACUGAGGCCGGGCAGUGGCCCCCGCACAGACGGACAGACAGGGAGCAAGCAGGACCCAGCCCAGGUGCACCCAUGUCUCACUGACCUCGUGGGCCAGCAGAGGAGAUGCUUGGGCUACUGCUGA